rnacentral:rRNA from 1 species
AUGUCUGAUGACGAUGGGAUCCCGGAGUGUGUGUACUGCUACAAUGACCAAGGUGUGUGCGACAGGUUUCCUCACCUGCAAAACGAUAGGUUUUUCACCUUGAAGCUGGAAUACAUCCAGUGCCAUGCUAGACCAUAUGUAUUGGAGAAGCUUGGUUUUGGUUUAGAUGACUUUGAGAAUGUGGAGACGAGGAGGGCUCACUUAAGAACUAAACAUGGUUAUGAGUUUCUGGUUAAGUUCUACAAUGCGGUCGAUCGCUCCCAUUUUGGUUGCUCUAAUUGGGAAGCUCUCUGCAAGUCAUAUGGAUUUGAGGAGGGAAUGCAUAUAAGAUUUGAUAUUCGUCCCGAAGAUUAUGAUGAUGAUGAUAAUAUCGACAUCUGUGUGGAUGUGGAUAUGCCUCCAGUUUUGCCUAGAUCUUAUUUCUUAUCUUCAAGAAAUACUCGGAAGGUAGUAGACAACAUAAACUACAACUAUGACUCCAAGCUUAAUUGUGAGGAGAAAGGUUAUCUUGUCUCAUUCAUAGAAGAUGUUGAGGCCUUCAAAAAUAGUCACUCUAUCAGCCCAAAUUAUACUAGAUACAUGCCACUAGUCCAUACAUUGCUUGAUGAUAACUUCAUUGCCAAAAACUUGAGGCUCCUGAAGCAGGUUGUGCCUGAUAUGCUAUUUACCAAAGGUGAUAUGCAUAUGGUUAGCUUACGACCAACUCCUUCGGAGGCUUACCAUACUGCAUACUCGAUUUCUUCAAAUGAUGGAAGGCUCAAAAUCAAAGAAUGGAGCAAAGUGAUGAAUGUGCACACGCAAAUAAUUGGAGACAAAAUGAAUGUGCGCAAGCCACAAGUUGGAGAUAGGUUUAUGUCCAUUCUCCAUUAUGGUGAAGGACCGGUUUAUCUGUUUUAUGGUAUUUUAGCUAGGAGAGAGGAGUAG